UACGUAGGGUGCGAGCGUUAAUCGGAAUUACUGGGCGUAAAGCGUGCGCAGGCGGUGAUGUAAGACAGGUGUGAAAUCCCCGGGCUUAACCUGGGAACUGCAUUUGUGACUGCACGGCUAGAGUGCGGCAGAGGGGGAUGGAAUUCCGCGUGUAGCAGUGAAAUGCGUAGAUAUGCGGAGGAACACCGAUGGCGAAGGCAAUCCCCUGGGCCUGCACUGACGCUCAUGCACGAAAGCGUGGGGAGCAAACAGG
rnacentral:rRNA from 1 species